CCACGAGGGUUAACAUUGGAGCGAAUAGGAAGGGAAGAAAACCCAGAUAUGAAGCGAAAACGAAGGACCAAACAUAUAGCAGGACUCACCUAGGAAAGGCUAGAGUUAAACUGUUGGGACCCGAAAGAUGGUGAACUAUGCUUGUGGUGUUUGAAGCCGAAGGAAACUUGGGUGGAAGGACUUGGCCGUGUUAAUUUGCAAAUUACUUGCAAUAUAUGAGUAUGGGGCGAAAGGCUAAUCGAACUAUCUAGCAGAUGGUUCCACCUGAAUAUUCCCUUAGGAAGGUUGAAGUGAGAAAGUAGUGACGAUUGGUAAAGAUAAUGAUUGGAUGUAAUGGAGAGCUUGACUUUUCAACAUUUUAACAAACUAUGAAUAGUCGAGAUAUCCUAAACGAUAAACAUUUAUUAGGAGUGAGCAUAUGCGGACUUCAAAUCGGCCAAGUCUGGUAAGCAGGACUGGCGAUGCGGGAUGAACCGAACAUACAGAUAAAGUAUCCAAGUCUUGCAUGAGGAGAACCAUAAAAGGUGUUCAUUCAUAUUGACAAUAGGACGAUGGCCAUGGAAGUUGGAAAUCGCUAAGGAGUGUGUAACAACUCACCUAUCGAAUGGAUGAGCCCUGAAAAUGGAAGGUAAUAAAAUGAGAGAGGUGAUAUUGUAUUUUUGUGGAGGCUGAGGCACACGAGGAGUAAGGAAAUACAUGGUGUCAAAAAUACGUGAGAGAUAAAGGUCGAGAAGUAAUUUCUAUUGAAACAGACUUGAGUACAGAUCUUGG
rnacentral:ncRNA from 1 species